rnacentral:rRNA from 1 species
AUUGAACGCUGGCGGCAGGCCUAACACAUGCAAGUCGAACGGUAACAGAAAGCAGCUUGCUGCUUUGCUGACGAGUGGCGGACGGGUGAGUAAUGUCUGGGAAACUGCCUGAUGGAGGGGGAUAACUAUUGGAAACGGUAGCUAAUACCGCAUAACGUCGCAAGACCAAAGAGGGGGACCUUCGGGCCUCUUGCCAUCGGAUGUGCCCAGAUGGGAUUAGCUAGUAGGUGGGGUAAAGGCUCACCUAGGCGACGAUCCCUAGCUGGUCUGAGAGGAUGACCAGCCACACUGGAACUGAGACACGGUCCAGACUCCUACGGGAGGCAGCAGUGGGGAAUAUUGCACAAUGGGCGCAAGCCUGAUGCAGCCAUGCCGCGUGUAUGAAGAAGGCCUUCGGGUUGUAAAGUACUUUCAGCGGGGAGGAAGGGAGUAAAGUUAAUACCUUUGCUCAUUGACGUUACCCGCAGAAGAAGCACCGGCUAACUCCGUG